rnacentral:rRNA from 1 species
ACGGAACCGAAGUACAUGAUUCCACGCUGCCAAGAAAAGCGUCUAGAGAGAGAAGUAGUGCCCGUACCGCAAACCGACACAGGUAGGUGAGGAGAGAAUCCUAAGGCCGGCGGAAGAAUUACAGUUAAGGAACUCGGCAAAUUGACCCCGUAAGUUCGCGAGAAGGGGUGCCUACGAGAGUAGGCCGCAGAGAAUAGGCCCAAGCAACUGUUUAGCAAAAACACAGGUCUCUGCUAAAGCGUAAGCUGAUGUAUAGGGGCUGACGCCUGCCCGGUGCUGGAAGGUUAAGGGGAACACUUAGCGCAAGCGAAGGUGUGAACUUAAGCCCCAGUAAACGGCGGCCGUAACUAUAACGGUCCUAAGGUAGCGAAAUUCCUUGUCAGGUAAGUUCUGACCCGCACGAAUGGCGUAAUGACUUGGGCACUGUCUCAACUGUAAAUCCGGCGAAGUUGUAGUGCGAGUGAAGAUGCUCGCUACCCGCGAUUGGACGGAAAGACCCCGUAGAGCUUUACUGUAGCUUAGCAUUGAGUUUUGGUAUUGUCUGUACAGGAUAGGUGGGAGACUAGGAAACCAGGGCGUCAGCCUUGGUGGAGUCAACCUUGGGAUACCACCCUGACAGUACUGAAAUUCUAACUGGCGGCCAUGAAUCUGGUCACAGGACAUUGUUAGGUGGGCAGUUUGACUGGGGCGGUCGCCUCCUAAAAAGUAACGGAGGCGCCCAAAGGUUCCCUCAGAACGGUCGGAAAUCGUUCGAAGAGUGCAAAGGCAGAAGGGAGCCUGACUGCGACACCCACAAGUGGAGCAGGGACGAAAGUCGGGCUUAGUGAUCCGGUGGUACCUCGUGGGAGGGCCAUCGCUCAACGGAUAAAAGCUACCUCGGGGAUAACAGGCUGAUCUCCCCCAAGAGUCCACAUCGACGGGGAGGUUUGGCACCUCGAUGUCGGCUCGUCGCAUCCUGGGGCUGAAGUAGGUCCCAAGGGUUGGGCUGUUCGCCCAUUAAAGCGGCACGCGAGCUGGGUUCAGAACGUCGUGAGACAGUUCGGUCCCUAUCCGUCGCGGGCGUAGGAAAUUUGAGAGGAGCUGUCCUUAGUACGAGAGGACCGGGAUGGACUGACCUCUGGUGUACCAGUUGUUCCGCCAGGAGCACAGCUGGGUAGCUAAGUCGGGAAUGGAUAAACGCUGAAAGCAUCUAAGCGUGAAGCCAACCUCAAGAUGAGAUUUCCCAUAGCGUAAGCUAGUAAGAUCCCUUGAAGAACACAAGGUUGAUAGGUCGGGGGUGUAAGCAUGGUAACAUGUUCAGCUGACCGAUACUAAUAGAUCGAGGGCUUGACCAAAU